AGGGAUCAGCAUGAAUAAAGCCUUUCAUGAAGCGGAGCAUGGCUGAAUUUCUCCCGUGUGUAACACAUGGAGUUCAAAGCUUCACACACCUGGAAACAGCAGCAGGGUUAUGUCACUGCUGCAGGUUUGUGAUGAAGUGGAGCGAAAACAUCCAGCUUUGGGAAAGAAGUGACAAAGAUUUGACUGCGUCUGCAAAAAGUGCUUCACCUGCCUCCAGAGAAAUCUCUGCCAUACCAGCUGUACCUGGAGGCCAGAGAGGAGGCUCUCGUUGAAGAGUUACCAGGAGUUAACAGGUAUUGACUCUUUAUAUUUCUCCCAUACGUCUAUAAGGAGAACAUGAACCUUUUUAUCCCUCUUGGAGACUCUGAUGCAGACAUGUGGUGUUUAACUGAACCAAACACACACAACAAACGUGACCUUCCAUCUCCACACACAACUAUUCUCCUGACUGGUCAAGACUGGAAAAUGGCCUUCUUCACCAAAAGAGCUCCAAACGUUGUGAAAGCAGACGAUGUUGAGGAAGGGAUCAUCUCUGCCUUCUGCACUGACUUUGUCUUCAAGCUGGCAAACCCGAGACACCUGAAGACACACUGACGUUCCUCCAGAGGUGCAUGGUGGUGACCAACCUCUGCCAAGAACUGUUAACAGGACCAUAAAUCUUCUUUAUUCACUCCAUUAUGCCGCAUACCUAGCAGUGCCUCUAAUGCUCCAGGAG